rnacentral:snRNA from 1 species
AUCACAGCGUUCACCUCAUAGCGCACCAAUCCUUCGCCUUUUUACUAAAGGUUGCCGUGAAUGGGACGCAUCAAUGUGACUCACACAAUUUUUUGGGAGCUCUGAGCUCC